CAAAAAGCUCAAGAAAAUCAUUGACAGCAUAAAAACGUUCAACUCAUUUAGUCGCACAUAAUUGUUUUAAUGAUUUUUUAGUUAUACAUUUUUGACUUUCUUCGAUUUGACUUUUCAACACAUCUUUUCGCUUUGGAAGAUGAAUAAGAAAUAGCAAGGUUUAAAACAUGAACAGCACAAUGAACAAACGUCGCAAGCGGAUAACUUUGGUGAAUAAGAGAUUGAGCUCCGUUAAAUUGACCAGACAUAGAAGCACAUCCAUCGUAACACUGUCCUCUAAGGUAUUUUGUUUCUACACCAAAUGAAUGUAAACUUUGAAUAAUAAUAUAUAAACCUUUUCCAGUAGUAUCUGUUGUAGGCACAAACUGAAGAAUUCUUCCUUGAUAAUCAUAUUUUCAACAUCUAAAUAUCGAACACACAAAGUUACUUGUUCGCUUCCACCAAUGUCGGCCGUUUCAUCAGCAAGUAUUUUGAAACAUCUUUGGGCAUUUAUGUUUGUUACGAUUUUAUUUAAAAUAAUUUUAUUGCAGGAUUCAAUUAUUUCAUUUUGAAGUGUUUCACUUGUAUAUUUUAUUGUUUCUUCAGCUUCCAAAAAUGAUUUUAAACGGUCAUCUCCUUGGGCUCUGUAUCUUAAUAUUUCUCUAAAAUUUCCUUGAUUUUCUUGGAUAAUUUGUCAUUUUCUUGAUAUAUAUUGAAGUUACAAAGAUAGCCGUUAUUGUCAAAAAAAAAAAAAUAAUAAUAAUAAUAACAUUAAAAAUGCAAAUAAUAAUUAAACCUAUAAGGUAGUUAAACCCUAAAGUUAUUUUCGAUUUGUUAAAGUCGUUAAAAUUAAUUCAAAUCUCCUGUUAUUUUCUUUUAUCAGAAUUAUUAUGUCAUUAAUUCAAUUAUUAAUUAAAUUGUUAAACUAUAUUAUAUAUUCAACUUAAUAAAUUUUUAUGUUGAUUAUAAUCGCAUGGCAUGAUGUUUUUUGUUAAUAACUAAAUGGAAAUAGCAAUUUCACAUGGGCAAAAUUUUUAAUAGUUGCAAGAGAAUAAAUCCAAACGUUGAUAUUUUAUUUCAUACAGAUUAAAUUUUAUAUGCAUAAAUAUUCUGUUAACCGAUAUCAAAUUUAUUCCACUUGAACUUUCAUAAAAAAAUCUCUAUCAUUUGUAAACUAAUGUAAUAAAUAAACAAACAAAUACAAAAGGUUUUUCUUCAAAAUAUCUUUAAAAUAUAUAUAUAUAUAUAUAUAUUUUUUUUUUUUUAAUUCUCUGUAUUAUUCUUAAAAUAUUGUAUUCUUUGACCAAUAAUACAAUUAAAAUAAAUAAGUAUUGUUUAUACUAAAUUUAUUUAUAAUUGGCUUAUACAUUUUUUUAAUGAAUUUUUACAAUUAAGUUUCCUUGACAAUUAGAUGUAAAUGUUGAUUUUAUCGACAUUUCAGUUCACUUCGUUUUUUCCCGUGAAAAAUAAACUAUCGUCUUGUGUAAUUAUUAAGAUUUAUUUAAUUAGUUAUUGAUAUGGCAAGUGAAAAAAAUAUUUUUGGUCAAACAAAUGAAUCAAACUUACAUAAGGUCAUACGCAGAGUUGAAGAAAUAUGGAAUCGUCGUUUCAUGCAUUCCAAUUGUGUUUUAAAUAAUACAAAUAAAGGACAAAUAUCAAAAAAGUCAACUAAAGAUGGAAGAAUUAUCUAAUAUGAUGCAGCAAAGAGAAUUCGGAACACUUUUUCAGAAUGAAAAAUCUGAAAAAUAUAAAAAUGAAAUUUUAAAUUCAACAGAAAAAAAAAAUAUAGCAAUUUCAAAAGACAAUCCGCUAUUAAUAUCAGCUGAUUUGUUAGAAAAGGUAUAUUUUAUUAUGCUUUUUUCAAUAAAAAGAUUUUAGGGUAUAUCCUAAACCAUAUUUUGGAC